rnacentral:lncRNA from 1 species
CAAUAUUUUAAUCAGAAUUUAAUGAGAUACAAAAUAUAUUUUUAAUUUAACUUUUGAGUAAGCUAUGUUAGAAAGGAUGUUCUAGGUUAUUGGGUGGAGAGCAUAGUUUCGCUUUCUUCCAGUUUUAAUUACAGAAUUUUGAAAUUUUAAUAUUUUUGAUAUAAUAUAUUAAAGAUGUUUUGAUAUUAUAGAUAAUUAUACCUACUUUUUAAAUCUAAUUUCCGUUCUCAAAAAAAUUUCUUAACUCAAACUUCAUGAAGAAUAUGUCGUAAACAAAAAGAAUAAAAGGCGAAAUAAAAUUAUUUUUACAGAUGAAAUUUUAAGUUUUCAUCGUACCGUUACUUAUCGAUUUAUUUAUUUACUGAAUUCAUAUUUUAAAAGAGGAAACGUUGACGCCGAGGAAAUUUAAAAAUAAGUACGGAUUAAUGUAUAUUUAAAUGUAAAUUGGCUGUAGGUGUUACGGUGGUGUAGUGUGAUAUAACUAUGAAAAUGUAUCUCCAGCAUGGAGCACGUGGAUGCGAAGAGAAAGCGAAGGAUAUGCUCAAGCAACGAACAUCCCGUCGGGACAUUAUUGAUCGUAAAAUGCCCCAGUUUCCAACAUCGAAUGCGCAAUCUCCAAACGUUUCUUUGGCUUUCUGCCAUUCACAUUUCAAUCUUGGCAGUGGUCAAUGUUUUAUUGUUAACGGAAUACCAAAAUAAAAGGAAAAUAAAUAAUACUUGUGUAUAACGUGACGUUGACUUACGUCAUUUUCUUCUUUCCGUUAGGUGUGAUCACACUUAAAAACGAAAAUUUAAGAAUUUCGAUUUGGUCUCGAUUUUUAACUGGUUCUGAUUAUUAUUAUUAAUGUUACUAUUAUUAUUUUUAUUAUUAAUAUUGGUUUUUUUAACAUCCUCCGCUUCCGUUAUAAUUCUGUAAAACGCUAGGCGAUUGGUCGGUUGAUGCACGCGCCACUAAAACGACCUUGAACGAGGAUAUCUACAACAACCGCUUUAGCGUGUUCCUCUUAUGUGGCAGAGUUCGAGGACAAAAAUAAAUAUAAAAUACUCUUUUUCGCAAGUAGAAAAUUGUUCGCGUUAACCGAUUACAAAAUCUAUAAUCGAUUUAAAGGUUUUUGUAAUUACGUGUUUACUUUAAUCUAGUCUCCCCAAUUUUUUUCCGAUGUGACGAAAUUUUAAACGAAAGUUACGAUUAAUAACGAUAUUUCACGUAUUUUUAUUUUACAUUCUAAAAUUAUAAAUUCGGUUUUCGAAAUAUAAACGUAAGCUGCUCUUGAUGCAAGUUGGACGACCAGACGUUCAAUCGAUAAGAUGGCGUUUACUGCGUGUCCUUGACACACACACAGCUCGGCAAGCUAUGGCUGUUAGCUGGGAGGUGCAUUCUCCUACAUGUUUUUCCUCUUAUUAAUAAAUUACUUUAAUGUUAAUAUAUUAAUAAAUGUUAAAAUAUUCAACAGAUGAUCUUUUUUUUUAAGUAAGUAAAAUUGCUACGAUAAAAAAAUACGUUCUAAAGAUAAGUGAAAAUGUAUUGGAAUUAUAAAAAAAAUGCUAGAAACAGUUAAAUAUUCCAUAUAAAAAAAAAGCCAUCAAAAAUCAGAAUAACAUCGAAAAGCUUCACUUCUACAGAACUGGGGCAGUUAUCACGUGACUAGCUUGCACACGUCUCCAAUGCCGCAUUGAUUCCUGCAGAGAUCACGUGAUUUGAAAACCGGUCUUCCACCCCUACCUGAUCGUAUCCUGACUGACCUUGGCUCAGAGGUCAAGUCUCGUAGUGGAGAUUAUGUGGGUUAAAAAUGUCGAAGCGCUCCUUACUUCGAUUGGAUUUUUAAAAAUUCAUUAAUCGUUCAUUCCCAAAUUACAACUAUACGUACAAUAAAAUGUAUAUACUAUUGGUAUGAUUUAUUAACACUUAUUAUUGAUUGUUAAUGGUUAUUACUGUUCUCAUUUAACUUGAAGAAUUUUUUAUUUAUUUAUUUAUUUCGACAUAGUUGAUGGAAGACAUGUGCCAAUUAGAAUUUUGUCGAAUUUAUUAAUUAUGGGAUUUUAAUUAAAUACUAAUUCUAUAGGGAUAAUAGAAAACCGGUUGGAAUUAUUGCAUGAAAGCGGCACAAUCAAUACGCAUGUACAUUGCCCGAGUUUCAACGUAGCCCAAAAGGUGUCUGCACUCUGUCGUUUCUAGGGCAACCAGUGAAAACACUGAUGGCGUCACGACCUUAUGUUAAGAUUCAUCUCCAGUCGACAAUUGUUAAAAAUGGUAAUGAACUCCAAGUAAUAAAUCAAUAAUAGCUAUAUAUUACUAUUUUAAAAUGGAUCCUAUAAUGAGACGAAUUUGAAUACGAAUAAAUGUUAAUAUUUGAAAUGAUAUGUGUAUGACGUAUUUUUAAGUUAAAUAACACGAUUUCUUUUUUUAUUUGUCCGUCGGACUGAAUCGAAAAUGCCAGUGAGAUUUUGUAGGUCAGACGCAGUUCUAGUCACCUUUAAUGUAUAAUCGACUCAACUUACAUUCCGUGACCGUAUAAAGGUCAAAUUAGAGGACAGACCAGUCGAUUUUCAUCAGAUGGGAGAGACCAAUGAAAAGAAGGGUUGGACCCCAGACAAUCUUUUAAAACGUCCGAUGGGAGCAUGUCCGAUGACUUAACAACUGCUGGAGUUUUUAAUUACUCUUAACCGGAUGCCGUAUGCUGUAAUCAACAUUUAAACAUUAUUUUUUUUUAUCUCUUUCUCUCCUGAUGGUCUUCCUUCGCUUGUUUAAUAAUGAACUCGUCCGGAUAUCACCUAUAUAAUAUCUCUCAAACCCUACUCCCUUUUAAUUCGCAGCUGUUUUAUUUGUGUACAGGACUAUCAUGAUUUUACUUUUAUUUUAUUUUUGUUUUAUGGAAUAGAAAUAUAUUUUACAAUUUAAAAGUUGAAAACUAUUAAGCCUUAAUUGAUUUGGUAAAUAUUUCCGAAGGCGGCUUAGGACAUUGAUCUGAGAAAAGAGAGCCCAUCGCGUGUUUCAUGCAUUUUCUGGCUGAUUUUGCGUGAGCAAUGACAGUUGGAAACAUCUUUUCUGUGUUUGUUCCCAAAACAAGCCGCCAUCUUUAUAACUAUAAUUGUCGAGGCCAAUGUCUGCCUCUUUACUCAUCUUCACUCUUUCUAUAUACCUAACUUUUUAUUUUAAGAAAGUUAAAACCUCGACACUCAGAAUAAAAUACAAGUAAAACUUUAUUUGAAAGUUCCAAAAGAUUGCCC